rnacentral:rRNA from 1 species
GCAUCGAUGAAGAACGCAGCGAAAUGCGAUACGUAAUGUGAAUUGCAGGUUUUCGUGAAUCAUCGAAUCUUUGAACGCACAUUGCACCCUCUGGCAUUCCGGAGGGUAUGCCUGUUUGAGCGUCAUUUCUUUCUCAGCCUCGCGCUGGUGUUGGACAGCACUCUGUGGAGUGUGUCUAAAAGAAGAUGGCGGCGGCUCAGUCGCGGGUCCACCAGUAAUGUCUAGGUUUACCAAAUCAUUGCGUGGCGUGGAGCAAACCCUCGGCUGAGCCUAGCGGCCCAGCCUUAACAACAUUGACCUCAAAUCAGGUAGGACUACCCGCUGAACUUAAGCAUAUCAAUAAGCGGAGGA